ACUACGGGUGGCUGCAGUGGGGGAUAUUGCACAAUGGGGGAAACCCUGAUGCAGCGACGCCGCGUGUGGGAAGACGGUCCUCUGGAUUGUAAACCACUGUCCCCAGGGACGAAGAUGACGGUACCUGGGGAGGAAGCUCCGGCUAACUACGUGCCAGCAGCCGCGGUAAUACGUAGGGAGCAAGCGUUGUCCGGAAUUACUGGGUGUAAAGGGAGCGUAGGCGGGAAGGCAAGUGGGGUGUUAAAUCUACCGGCUCAACUGGUAGUCGCACUACAAACUGCUAUUCUUGAGUGAAGUAGAGGCAGGCGGAAUUCCUAGUGUAGCGGUGAAAUGCGUAGAUAUUAGGAGGAACACCAGUGGCGAAGGCGGCCUGCUGGGCUUUUACUGACGCUGAGGCUCGAAAGUGUGGGGAGCAAACAGGAUUAGAUACCCUUGUAG
rnacentral:rRNA from 1 species